CCCCGCAAUGCUAGGCACCAUCUCCGAAUUAAGGUCAGCAACCUUAACUCCAUCAAGACUUGAUUACCAAUCGAAUCAAGCCACGUUAAUGCAAACUUGCUUAAAAGGAUCAAUGCCAGCAAAAGAGGAGCAUGUUCUCUCAGGCCCUUGCCUAGAACAACUCAUGUCACGUGCUCUUUCUUAGCAGUGAAUUGCUGCUAUAUGUCCCAUCUAUGUCAGUAUCAACCGACCAACCCCCAUUGGACUCUUAACUAAAACUCAAACGUCUCAUGACUGUGGAAUAAGUACACUUAUGAAUAAUGUUAUAAUGUUACUCUUCAAUCAGUUUUUUUUUUUUUUUUCCUGCCAAGAAAAGUAGGUGUUGAAUUAUUGAUCCCAAACUCUAUGCUCUUCCGACAACUGAUCUCGACUCAGUUUUCACCUAACACCGAGAUUUUAAAUUUGACAAAAACAUUUUUAAGAGUAAAAAUCAGAGAAAGUAUAGGGCUGGUAAGAGGAAAUAUGGGAGCGGCCCAAACGAUAGCAAUUUAUGUUAAAACGACGUCAUUAGAGUAACGGAGAGGGACAAAAACCGGCGACCUUAGAAAAACGAUAGAGAGAGAGAGAGAGAGAGAGAUUUGGACUCUUACAUGGUAUGAACCCAACGGAGAGGAACAUCGUGAGAGGCAAUGACGACGAGAUCAGCAUCCACGUGUAAUCUAGCAAGAGAUCUGAGCAUGACACGUAUAGCCACGUAGAAAUCAUAGUCUCUUGGCGUCCCCAUAUACAUCAUCGUCGCAUAUGCGUUUUUGUGCCGCUGGCGUUGCCCCUCUUGCUGCUGCUGCUCUAUCUGGGGUGCCCUCAUGACCUCUCCAAACGCUGUCGUUUUAUACACAGCGAAAACUAAAACCAGCAAAAACCUCAACAUUAACCAAGGCUCUCGAGAAGAAGCCAUGGUGGGUGGGUUUUAAAAUUAUAUGAAAUCAAGAGAAAUUAAAGAGCCCUUUAAAUUGAAAGAUUAAAAAAAAAAAAAAGGGCAAGGGUUGGGGGUGCUGUUUAUGUUAGUUAACGUGAUGAGCUUGAAAAAUAUAUAUGAUAUAGUAAAUGCAGGUACUGUUUUUCUUGCUUUCUCAACGAGUGUUGUUGACAACUUGACAUGUCUUGGUUCUGCCUUUCCUUGCGUUUUUAUAGAUAAAAAGUAGCUAUGGCCCAUCAGAGAUAAGGGCCAGCUCUGGAACGGCGAAAGAAAUGGAAGCAUACAAGGAAAGCUCUUCAAAACUAAUAAAAUAUUUAUUUUGCAUAAAAGAGUCGUUUUAUUUUUAAUUUUAAUCCCGUGACCAGCACUUUAUACCAUAUUUUUGUAAAGUUUACUCGUUAGUCGUUAGGAUAUUUUUUAUUUAUAAAUAUAAUAAAAUAAUAUAUGUUUUUUUAUGUUUAAAAUUUAUUUUUAAUAUUAAUACAUAAAAUAAUUCUAAAAAAUUAAUUUAAAAUUCAAAAAAAAAUUAAAAUAUAAUUAGACCAUGAUACAGAAAAGCGUUGGCCGUUGGUUAUGUACAAAGUGGGUUUUGGUAUCCCUGUACGGUCAAUGUUUACUUUUUCUUCUUCUUCGUGGAAAGCACUGUCGUCCUUUUUAUUUUUUCAUGGUUGUGGAAAUUGGAUAUAUUUUUAUAUUUUGAGAAUGAAACCAAGACUUUAUUAUAAAUUUCAAAAGCUAAAGGUUUUUUUGUUUUUAGCGAUUGACGAGCCUAAGCUCAAACUAAAAAUACAAAGAGUUAAUACUUGUAAAAUGCAAACAUAUGUGUAUAAUUUUAAGACGAGAUUUUUUUAUAUUUUAUUAAAAUACAAUAUUUCUUUAUUCAAAAACUAAAAAAAACUUGUUUUCUUAAUUUCUCAAAUUUGUUAUGAGUUUGGAAAACACAUUUUGAAAAUUCUUCACAAUUUCUCAAUAUAAGUUUUCCAAUUUUUUUAUAAAAAAAACAUAAACAGUACAAUUUUUCUUUUCUCUCGUAUACAAGCACUUUUUACCAAUAUUAAUGAUUAUAAUUAUUUUUUUAUAUUUUUAUUUUAGUUGGUAUCAUAAAUUUAAUUUUUAUUAUAAAUAUAAUAUAAUUUUUUAAAGUUAAAAUCAUAACUUUUUCAUGAUAAUUUUUAAUUUGAAUGAAAUAAAAUUAAUAUUCUAUAAUUAAAUUAUCAUGAAUAAUUAAAAAUAUUAAAACAACUAUUAUAAAUUAUGAUUUUUAUUUUUUUAUAUAAAAAAUAGUUAUAAUUUUGAUGCAUUUUUUCGGUGGAAAAUUCGUUUUUAUUAUUAAUAAAUGAACAAUUUUUUAUUUUUUAAUUGAAAAAAAAACUAAAAAUAAAAAAUAUUUUUUUCACCAAACACACUAAAAAAUUCCAAAAUUCAAGGGUGGGGGUUGCUACCCUCUCUUACUAUCUCUUCUAGCAUAACUAGUGACAUAUCCUUGAGAGUGAACUUCCAUGUCUUUCAUGCUCAAAAUUAGAAAGCGAAUUAGUGCACCGAUCAUCUUGGCAAAUUACGUGACUAACAUGUGUUAAUAAACAUAGAGAUGAUUGAGAAGAACUGCAUCUUUAAUAAUUAUCAUAAUUUAAUUUUGGAUUCCCUAAAAUACAAAAUAACAAGCAACUUGGUUGACAAUAAUAAAAUAAAGAAGGAACUAUAUGCAUAAAUGAGAGAUGGAGUGACCAAACUGAAUCUGUGAUAUGUUUGGAAAUUUAAAUACAAUUUUGAAAGACCAAAAUGUUAUACAAAUUCAAGAUGAAUUUUAGAUGAAGUUGCAUAAAAAUUAAGUCUAUAAAUUACUUUAGACUGAAAUUAAAAGAAUUAAUUAAGUGCAAGGAUUUAUUUAGACUUUUAAUGGGUCAAAUUAAUUUUAUUAAGGAUUUAAUUGUUGAAAAAUAAAGUUUGAAAGUCUAAUUUGGAUUUAAUUUAUAAGAUUAAAAUUUUAGAGGACCAAAUUUAUUUUUUACAAGCUUAUUUGGAUAAAAAUAAGGGUGAAAUUACAAGAACAUCAAAGUUCAAGGUUUAAUUAAGGGUCAAAUUGAAGAAUCUCAAAACCAAGAAUCAAAGUGCAAAAAACGCUAAGUUCAGGGACUGAAAUCAAUAAAAAUCAAAGGUCAAAUUUAAAGAAUUAAAAUUUUGAUGGUUGAUAGGGGUCAAAUUGAAAAAUUAAGAACCGGUUUGAAAAAGACGCUUAAAUUAGAAGAGUCAAAUCAAAGUUUCCAGGGGUGCGAUUGUAAAAAUUAAAACGUUUCAGGGUAAAUUAAAGAUGCUUAUGACAAAAUUGAAACAACAGGGACCAAAUUGAUGUUUGUAAAAUCUCAAUUAGAAAACUCUAAUUUCUAGGGUUUAAUCAGAACCACAGGUCACACAUCUUUAAUGAAGAGAAUAUGUGACAUGUUGUCUUGUUCUUGUUUGUUAUCUUUUUCAGCUGAAAAUGAUGAUUAGGUUGUCAUCUUCAGGCGAAUGAACGUGGCAUCUCCAACCAUUUUAGAGGCUUAAACCACUACUAAUGGACUGAGAAACACCUCCUCUAUAAGGAUCAAUUAUCAUCAUCUCAUAUUUAUACCUACUUUGGCUCAAUAAACUCAACAACAUCUUGCCUCCGAUCACUUCCCAUAUAUUUGACAGUUUUAAACUGAUCGAAAGCUCAUUUUCCAAUCAAUGAAUGUGGAGUUUUAGAACUCGAAAUUAGAUGAUAUUUAAUCCUCAUGGUAGAUAUACAUUCCAUUUGCAAGGAUCCGCUACUCUUAUUCCACAUUUACAUCCAGUUUGUCGUGAUGAUAUCUCCAAAUAGCUCACUCAGUCAGCCAUGAUUGAAGAAGAAAACCACAAUGUUUGUUUAAAUUUCUAGGCUACCUUCUCUUGACAAGUUUGAGCGCAUAAAAAGACAAAAAAAAAAAAAAACAGAAUGCACCUUUCUAAGGAGGUUAGAAGAGGGAGUGAACAUGAAUCUUCUAUAACAAACCCUUGGCAAAACCACCAUGGUUUUGCCAUUUCUGGUUUUGUUUAACUUGUAAAAGGUUGUUCUUGAGCACACCAAAAAAGGGAUCCAGAAAAGAAAUUACAGAGAAAAUCUUAGAAAAGAAAAGGAGAAAGAAAAUACAAAAAAAGAGUCAAUUGAACAUUUAGUAUAGAAAGGAAUGGAAAGUAACAUAGAGGUUUUUUAAGAAGGAAAAAGGGUAUUAAUAUGAUUUUGAAAGAAGCUGGAAAAAAGAGAGGAAAGAAGUAAGGAAUUUAGAGAAAGAAUCAACUUUUUCAUUGCUAGGUAAGCUUUUAAACUUUGAUGAAGGGGUGGAGCUCAAUGAGAACACCCCUCCCUCUUUAUUUUUAUCUUUAUAUUACUAUUUAUUAUGUUUAUUAUGUAUAAUUUGAAGUCAUUUAUUACUUUGAAAGCCAUGAUAAUUGUUUUUAAAUGUUUAAACAUGCUUUGAAUAUAGUUUGUUUAUGCUCAAGUUUUGUUUAUUACUUUGUUUUGAUGUGUUAGAAUAUGAUUAUGAAAUGAAAAAUAUUAAAAUAAAAUGCUUCUUUUUUUUUGCAUGCUGUGGUGUUAGGCUAAUUUUGUUUGAAGUUGUGACAAUUCGUUUUAGGUUUUGAUUUUUGUUAUGGUUUACUUUGUUUUGGUAUGCUGGUUUUGCUGAAGGAAUAUGCAUGAUGUUUAAGCUUUAAGACUUUGUUUAUGAUCAAUGGAACAAUAUUUAUACAUAGGGAGAGGCUUUUCCUUAUUGCUAUCUUUGGUUCUUGCAUAUUGUUUUUGCCUUUGAUCUUUUGUUUCUUAUUGUUUUGAUGGUUCCAACAAUUCAUAGUAAGCAUGCUUAAGCUUAGGUUGCUUUUCUAAGUUUAUUUCCUUUUAUGGGUUUAGACCUUUUGUUGGGUUUCUGGGUUUGCUGACUUCUAUCACGGGGCGACGUCGAAUGACGUGUUAGAAAAGGAAAGAGUUUUGGGUACAAUUAAAAAGUUAUGAUUAUAAGGUUUAGGAGUCACCACCUAGUAUUUUGGUUAUCAGGAAACCUAUGAUCUGCGAGAAUCCAUGUAAGGAAUUGGUUGUGUAAGGGGAAGAUACAUCACCCUAGUGAACCCUACAUGAGGUAAGCUGUGUUGUUGUUUGAUUGUUUUUCUAGGUCAAGUUUAUAGUCAUUAGUCUAAGGCAAUUCUUCCUUCAUGAGAGAGUCUCUACCUUAUCAAGUUAAAUCCUAACCGCUUUAAAGUCUAAAUUAUAGCAUCUCAUUUAUUUAUUUAUUUAUAUUUUUUGUUUUUGUAUCUUUAAUAUCUAAGGGUAUACUCUACUGUGUAGUUUUACACUCUCAAGUAUUAAAGUCUACAGCUAAACCCUAACACUUUAAAUAUAAAGUGAACAAAAUGAUUAGUGAAGAGUUUUUGAUAUUUUGGUCAAACUCUAAUGGAUAACCAUAAAUUGAUUACGAUAUCCAUUUUUGCAUUUUAAAACAUGAGAAAGAUGCAAUUUUUUGGUUUUUUUAAUGAAAAUAUACUUGGAAAACUUUUAGGAUUUGACCGUAUGCAUGAAAAAAAAUAUUUUUUUGGUUUUUUGAAAGAGGAAAUUAAUUUAAUUUUUUUUGGAUUCUCAAAAUUUUUUAGAAACGUUUAAGAGAAACUGAGUAUUUUAAUACAAGAUCUGUAUUUUACAAUGUAAAUAUACAACCCGAUAUUAUGCAAAAUUUAUAGGAAAACACGUGAUAAAAUCACAGUUUUUUAAACUUCUUUUGGAAUUUUUUUGGAAUUUUUUCGUUUAUUUUUUAAAAUAUUUUAAUAUUAUUUUAAAAUUAUUUAUUAAUAUAUUAUUAUUAAAUAUAUUGGGCUGGGCCGGACCCAAGCUAGUCGGGUUAGGCUGAUAACGGCCCAAUAGACCUGACUCUUUUUUUUUUAGGUUAGGUUGGACAUGGCCCAUCUAUAUGGGCUGGAUCCAGUUUAGGCCCAUAUGGUCAUUGGCCCAACCCAAUGACUAUGGGGUUAAUUAUUAUGGAAAUUGCAUAUAAAAUGCAGUGGUCAUGAGGGUUUGGCGAAGGAAAAACAAGGGGAAAACUUGUCUGGUCGGAGGAGAAAAGUUGAUGGCGGGGUUCCUAGUAUUACAGGGAAGACCGAUGAGUGGUUGGUGGCCGCAACAGCGACUGAGGCGCGACGGAGGAAGUGGUCGAGAAGGGGGGAAGAAAAAACUGGGCAGAAAGAUGGUUUUUUCUCAACUUUGGCUUCUGAUUUCAAUCAAUUGAGUCUUCAUAGUUUGUUGUCUUUUGCAAAAUGAUCAUUGACUGUGAAUUUCUUCAAUUUAACCUCUAAUUGACACUAAAACUUUGAUUUUCUUAUGAUUUUACCCCUGUUUUGAACCAAUUGACUUUGUAAAAAUUAAAUUUGAUCUCAUAAAAUUCCAAUAUAUUGUUGAAUUUCAUGCAUAUUAUUGUGAAUGAUUAUGAUUAUUUAAAGUAUUGGGGUCCACACUAUUUUGUGGCAAUUUUGAGGGUAUGCGGCUGCUAAGAAUUUAUUUUUAAGGUAGAAUAAGGUAGGGAUCAAUACCCCGUGAUGAAUUUGAAAGAUUGGGUUGCAACAGGUUUAUUCGAGGCAUAAUAGUUUGAUCUCGACAUGGAAAUUGUAUCUGUGUUGAUGUUGUUUUUAAAUUGCUAUAUUGUUUUUGAUUUGUUAUGUUGUGAUGUUUUUUAUUUGAUUUGUUAAUGUUAUUCUUAAUUUGUUAGGUUGAUGUUGUUUUUAAUUUGUUGUGUUGUGUGUUCAGAGUUUUAAUAUGCAAUUUUAUUAUGUAUUAAAUGUUUUAUUAUCCAUGAAUCAACCUAAGAUAAAUGUCAUUGAGUAUUAUCCUUAAAUGAUGACAAAAAAGAUAAAGAAACCUCUUAAUGGAUGACUUCGUUAUUUAUAAAAUUGUUUUUUUUAUAAGAUAAAUAUAUUUAUAAUUAAGUUUUUUCUUGAUAUUAUCGUUGCGUUGUGAAGUUUUAUUAUUCAUGAAUCAACCCAUGAUAAAUAAAUUGUUGCUGGGAGUUGCCCUUGGAUGUUGAUAAAAAAAAUAUUGGAAUUUCUUAAUUCAUUACUUUAUUGUGUAUAGAUAUUUUUUUAAAACCCUUAUUAUAUUGUGUUUUCCUAGCAAUUUUGGUAGCAUAUUAAUUAUUUUUAUUAUCCCAAAAUCAACUUAGAUGAAUGAUUUGUCAUUAAAUGUUAUCCUUAGAUUUCUUGAAUUGAUAACAUGAUCGUUUAAUAUGUAACUCUAUUUUUUUUAUGGGCUAGAUAUUUUUAAGAUAUAAAUGCAAUUUUAUUAUGUAUUAAUUGUAUUUAUCUUUGAAAACAAUACAAGAUGUAUGUAUCAUCAUUGGGUAUUAUCCUAAAAGGUAGCCUAACAUCUCUCUCUCUCUCUCUCUCUCUAUAUAUAUAUAUAUAUAUAUAUAUAUAUAUAUAUAUAAAGAAUAAUAAAAGCUUUUUUUUGUUUUUUUUUAGUUUGGACUUGUGAGUUUGAGGGUGCCUCUAAUAAUUAACAACCUAAGAAUCUUUAUAUUAAAUAUUACAAUUUUACCAAUGACUUAGAAAAAAGAAGAAGAAGAAGCCGCCACCCUCAUCCUUCUCUCCUCCCCAGAAUCCGGUAACUUAAUGUCAACAAAUCCCUACUAUUAAAGCACAAAUUGAGCCCCACCACCCAAACCCAACAAAUCCCUUUCAAUUGCUCUUCUUUUUCAACAAGAUUUGAGUUCGACUUAGAAAUCAAAACUAGACAUAUUUAAAGGAUUAUAAUGGAAGAUGGGAAAGACCAUCUUAUUUUGAUAGGGGGGGUGGUUGAACCAUGGCCGAACAAUACUCUUUAGUUGUUUGUUUUUUCUCAUCCGUCUAGUGCUUAAAAGACCACUAAUUUAUUUUUUUACAGGACAUAAAUUGCUCCUUUUUUUUAAUUAUAUGUUGUCAUGUGGUAUUUACUAGUCUAUUGCCAUGUAACAAGUCGGAUUAAUUUUUUUAAAAUAUAUAAAAAUAAUAUUAAAAAAAUAGAGAGUUUUUUUUUAUAUAAUAUCAUUAAACUUAAUUAAAUAAGUUAAUCUUAAAACCUCAUAACCUAGUUUUUUGACCGAUUCAAGUUUUCAAUUAAAUCGUGUAAGAGUUGAUUUGACUUAAAUAGAUCAAUUUUAUGGACUUAAAGAUAACCUGGAUAAUCGGUAAAAACAUGACUUUGUUUUUAAAAAAACUUCAAGAUAUCAAUUUUUAAAAAAUAAUAUUAAGACAAUAACAAAUCAGAUCGACCCGGGUCUCCUUACGACCUGGGUAAUAAACUCUAUAGGGUUAACAACUUUUUUUAAUUUAAUUAUAUGAUAAAAAUAAAUAUUCAUAAAAUUAAACACCAACCCUAAAAUAAAAAGCAAAUAAAAAUAAAACAUGCACUCUAUUUCUUAAUCAAUUAAAUAUUAAAUGAUAAAAUAAAAAAAUAAUUAAAAAAAAUAUAAAAAAAGAAAAAAUAGAGUUGUUCUAGGGCUUUAAGUUUUUUUAAAAAAAUAAUUUUAAUUUAAUAUCUUCCCCCACGAAUGGCUUGUAUGAAAAUCGCUGUUCAUGAAUUGAAAAGACACUACUCUACUGGUAAUAAAUCUUUCUUUCACUUUCAAAUACGCGUGCUGAGAAAUCCUUCCGUGCCUUAUCAACAAAAAAAAAAUUAUACUGAUGAUGAGGUUUUCAAAUGGGUUCUUCUUUUAUUUUUCAGUGGUCAUCAUGCUAAAUAAUGGAGGUAUAUGAUGCAAUGUCCUAUGAGGAUAUACCUUGUAUAUAUCUACACUCUUUAAUUUAUACCAACUUCAAUUAAUCUUGAAUUAAAAACUACAGUAGACAUUAUAAUAUUCAUGUCAGCCUGAGGACCAGGUUGCCAAGCAACCGGCCUGUGUCGUUCUGGAGAUUAGGACUUUUUGUGCAGACGAGGAAUUAUCCUUGUGAUUAUUGAAGACCUCAUCAAUUGAUCCUAUCAAGAAUAGUCGUCGAUCUUUAAUUAAUUUUGGGGCUCUCCAGCUCAGGCAGUCACAAACUCAAAAUUGAAGAAAUGUAUGCACUCGGCGCAUAAUGUUGACUCCUGAGGCUAUUGAAGCUGUCAUCCUCUUUCUAUGUCCAGGAAGUUCCCUUCAUGUUGACUCCUGGGGCUAGUUAUUGUCCCAACUUAUCCUGAUGCUGGCUAUGUUCUUAAGCGUGAAGUGUGGGGAGGUUGCUUGCUUACUGUUUCUAUUUCUUCUCCCGGUAACAAUGCUUCUGGAUAUAUCUUUCAUUUUUGGUUUUUGUUGUCUACAUGCAUCAAAGCUUAGCCGCGUUUUAUAACCGGAGAAUUCUACCCCCGUUGACUCAUAUCAGAAGGGAAUCUCUUUCACCGGUAUAAAACGCUCCUUACGCUACAGGCUUCUUGGAAGAGAGGAACGAGUCCCAGUCCAACGGGUCUCCAAUGGCAUCGUAGAUGUCAAGAAUAACUUUAAAAAAAGGAAUGGUCAAGCGAUCUUGUAUAUAUUAAUAUGGAUAUCAAAAUCUGAGACUUUUCAAACCACUCGGCUCCAACUGGCCUUGAAAAUAUCUUGGAUACCACCUUUUGUACGCGAAGGUAUUCUUUAUAGUUUGACAAUUAGCGGCCCGUGGUUUGCUAGUAUUUUUUUUCAAAAUCAAAAUAAAUAUACAGACCUUUUCUUAUUGUUUUUUUUAUAUAGAAAAAUCAUAAUAGGAAACAAAAAAAAAUCUUAUGCAUAUAUUUAAUUAAAUAAAUAAAAAAUUAUUUAUGUCAAUAAAAAAAUCACUAAUAAUAACUAAAGAUUAAAUUGAAAAAAUUAAGAGAUAUAUAUAAAUCAAGAUACUUGAUCUCAAACCACAAAUCAUAUUCUUAAUUAAUUGUGUCUAAUAAUUUUAUUUAUUAUGGUUAAUCUUUAAUUUAAUCAGACUUGAUUGUAUCUAAUAACUUUAUUUUUUAAAACUAUAUUUUAUUUAAUAAAAGUAAAAAAUAAUUAAGUACAGCUAUAUAGAAAUAACACCUUAUAAUAUCAUGCUGCAUAAUAAUUAAAAAUUAUAUAUCACAAUAAUUAAUUGGAUUAACAUUACUAUAAAUGCUUGUCCAUUUAAUAGCCAACAAAGUUAUAUUUAAUUAAAAAAAACAAAGCAUCAUUUUUUAAAAGAAAAAAUCAUUAUUUGAUUUCUCUUUCUCAAACCAAAUGUUUAAGAAUAUUCAUGCUUAUGAAGGGAGGGAAUAAAGAAAAUAUUAAUUAACAAAAACCUAAAACUCCUCAUGAAAUUAUUAUACAUCUAUACACAAAUAGUAAUACUACGGUUAAAAAUUUAAUCUUCAAUCAUAAAACUUUUGAACUAUAUAUUAGGAGCAAUACAUUCUUUUAACCAUAAUUCAAUUGUUAUUUUCAAAUCAUACGGGAAUAUGCUAAAAUGAUUUGGUUACCUCUAAAAUAAUAAUAAAAAAAACCACAUUAAAACUUAUUUCUAGGAGCUUUUUAGUUUUUUUAACACAGUAAAAUGACUUAAUUUCUUGUAGAGGCAAAAUCUAUUGAAUUUUCUUUCAGGGGUUUUUUCACUAUUUUAUUAUGAUUUUUUUAUUUAAUAUCAAGUUGACUCAAAGCAUUUUUAUAUUUGAAUAAAAAUUAAAAAUUAUUAAGAAAAACUUAUCGGCACGUGCAACCAGAUGCCAUCAAAUGGGCAAUCUGCGCACCCUACUAGUGACGUGUGUGGUGUCAUCUAGUGACCAAAUAUUGCUUUAUGUAACAAUGUUUGAAUCGUCUUAACAUCCCCUCGAUGAUGAAACAACAGGUAUGGCCAAUGACCUUUUAGUUUGACGCUGAUAAUACUCCCCCCCCCUUCUUUCUCCUUUUUAAUUUUCAUGCAGCCCCUUUAAAAAUUCAAAACAACCCUCUAACUUGUUAUUCCUUUAUAUUUAUUUUAUUAUUAUUUGUUUUAUCUGGAAUAAUUUAUAAAAUUAGGAUUAAUUUUCAAUUUCAUCUUCUUUUGAUUUUUUUUAUUUUUCAAAUUUGAUUUUUAUUCUUUUAAUUACAAUUUAUUUUAUUUAAAAUAAUUUUUUAAGAUAAUUUUUUUACAAUUUCAACCUUACUCCAAAAUAUAUGUUUUAUUAUACCGAGUUGCCAACAACAACCAUUAAUCUUUCUAUUCAUGAAGAACACCUGUCAUAUAAUUUUCCCCCCUCUGUCAAAUUUAAACUCACAACACAAUUUAGCGGAGUAAUAUUAAUUCGUUUCGUCUAAUGGGAAUUUGGGAUGCAAAAUAUCACGGAAACUGGCCCAAGCCCACAACACUGGAAGCAAAUAGCUCAGAGGUCAGCUGGGCCGCAUCAUCCAAUACCGUCGACGACUCUAACCCCUUGCUGUCUGAGGACGCCCCCAGUCUAUAAGCCACUAAUCCUUAUUCUUAAUCUACUCUAACCUUUAUUCCAGAUUUAAUUUUAAUAUUUGAAAAUUGUAUUCAUGAUUUUAACUGAGAUGUCCUCAAUUGCGAACAUUAUUUUUAUUAGCAUCCAUCUGUUCAUUUGUUUUUUUCUUCCUUUUUCUCUUCUUUUUUCCCGGCCUUUUCCCCUCAUGCAAUUAGACGCAUUAGUAAAAUUCUAGCAAUAGAAUUCAUAUGAACUUCACUUGGAUUGAUUAUGUAUAAAGCGACUUACCAUUCUAACUAUAUAAGCAAUAUUUGCACCGAGGCUUAUGGCCCAGCGGUUUUGACAGGGUUUCCGUGCCCCUGCCUCCUGGAUUCCAGCCUCAGCGUGCACACCUAUCACCCCCGCGGUGUUUUACCUGCCUCCUGGGCUUGCAGGGUGUUCAAUGAGUCCGAUGAUUAGUUAUGGUGCGCGUAAACUGGCCCGAACACCUCGGGUUAUCCAAAAAAAAAAGAAGAAGCAAUAUUUGGUUGAAUGUGUAAUAAGUAAAUCAAUUGACCUACUAGUAUUUAAUGUCUUUCCUUAUCAACAAGAACUUGAAAAGAAAAUUUCUCAAGGCUAUGAUUUUUCUCGAUAGAUGUAUCAAUAGGCUGAUAUCUAAGAAUCUCUGUCUCCUUAAAUAAGUUCAAAGUAUAUUUUAUUGUUAGAAGAAUAUUUCUUGCUUAGACUUGAUAACUUUAAUACCCAAGAAAUACUUUAAAUUUCUAAGAUCUUUCAUAUCAAAAUCAUAUACCAAGUGAGUCUUCAAUUUUAUCAUCUCAUCAAUAUUGUUACCAAUAACAAUCAUGUCAUUCACAUAAAUGAUAAAUGAAACUAUCUUAUCAUUUUAUCUUUGAAAAACGACAUAUAAUUUGUCUUGCUUUGAGUAUAACCAUAUUUCUUCAUAGCUAGUCAAAAUUUUAUGAACCAUGCUUCAAUUAGGACCAGCUGCGGAGACAAAAUCAUUCAAACGAAAGACAUAAAACAAACGAGAGCCAUACAAUCACUAAGAUGGGAUUUCAUUGGUGGUGUAAAAUCAUCAUCAUUACCCGUUUCCCAUCAUCAUUUGUACUUAAAGUGAGAACAUGGAGAGGGCAUGGAAAUUAUCCUCAUCGUCUUGUGCGGUUGGCGACCUUCUUGCUCUUGUUACCCUCUGAUUAAGUAACCUUAGAGCUCUUCCCAGUCUGGUGCUAUUUCCAGCUAGAGCUGCAGGUUGAUCAGCAUCAAAGGCGAUUUGACUCAGCUGAAAGAAGAAGAGCCUCGAUGAGUAGAGCAGAUCAGUGUAAGCUUGGCGAACAAGCCUGACACUGAAGGUGAGUUUAAGUACAUAAGGGCAUAGCAAGCAAGUAAUCA
rnacentral:lncRNA from 1 species